rnacentral:rRNA from 1 species
UUAACACAUGCAAGUCGAACGGAAAGGCCCUGCUUUUGUGGGGUGCUCGAGUGGCGAACGGGUGAGUAACACGUGAGUAACCUGCCCUUGACUUUGGGAUAACUUCAGGAAACUGGGGCUAAUACCGGAUAGGAGCUCCUGCUGCAUGGUGGGGGUUGGAAAGUUUCGGCGGUUGGGGAUGGACUCGCGGCUUAUCAGCUUGUUGGUGGGGUAGUGGCUUACCAAGGCUUUGACGGGUAGCCGGCCUGAGAGGGUGACCGGCCACAUUGGGACUGAGAUACGGCCCAGACUCCUACGGGAGGCAGCAGUGGGGAAUAUUGCACAAUGGGCGGAAGCCUGAUGCAGCAACGCCGCGUGCGGGAUGACGGCCUUCGGGUUGUAAACCGCUUUCGCCUGUGACGAAGCGUGAGUGACGGUAAUGGGUAAAGAAGCACCGGCUAACUACGUGCCAGCAGCCGCGGUGAUACGUAGGGUGCGAGCGUUGUCCGGAUUUAUUGGGCGUAAAGGGCUCGUAGGUGGUUGAUCGCGUCGGAAGUGUAAUCUUGGGGCUUAACCCUGAGCGUGCUUUCGAUACGGGUUGACUUGAGGAAGGUAGGGGAGAAUGGAAUUCCUGGUGGAGCGGUGGAAUGCGCAGAUAUCAGGAGGAACACCAGUGGCGAAGGCGGUUCUCUGGGCCUUUCCUGACGCUGAGGAGCGAAAGCGUGGGGAGCGAACAGGCUUAGAUACCCUGGUAGUCCACGCUGUAAACGGUGGGUACUAGGUGUGGGGUCCAUUCCACGGGUUCCGUGCCGUAGCUAACGCUUUAAGUACCCCGCCUGGGGAGUACGGCCGCAAGGCUAAAACUCAAAGGAAUUGACGGGGCCCCGCACAAGCGGCGGAGCAUGCGGAUUAAUUCGAUGCAACGCGUAGAACCUUACCUGGGUUUGACAUGGAUCGGGAGUGCUCAGAGAUGGGUGUGCCUCUUUUGGGGUCGGUUCACAGGUGGUGCAUGGCUGUCGUCAGCUCGUGUCGUGAGAUGUUGGGUUAAGUCCCGCGACGAGCGCAACCCUUGUUCACUGUUGCCAGCACGUUAUGGUGGGGACUCAGUGGAGACCGCCGGGGUCAACUCGGAGGAAGGUGGGGAUGACGUCAAGUCAUCAUGCCCCUUAUGUCCAGGGCUUCACGCAUGCUACAAUGGCUGGUACAGAGAGUGGCGAGCCUGUGAGGGUGAGCGAAUCUCGGAAAGCCGGUCUCAGUUCGGAUUGGGGUCUGCAACUCGACCUCAUGAAGUCGGAGUCGCUAGUAAUCGCAGAUCAGCAACGCUGCGGUGAAUACGUUCCCGGGGCUUGUACACACCGCCCGUCAAGUCAUGAAAGUUGGUAACACCCGAAGCCGGUGGCCUAACCGUUGUGGGGGAGCCGUCGAAGGUGGGACUGGUGAUUAGGACUAAGUC